AAUAAGUGCAGUUUUGCACUAUUCAUUUCUAACGUUUGAUCGUUCAUCUUAUUUGAAAAUUUUUAUGAUUAGUAUUUUUAUUGAUAAUAGAUGAUAAAUCAUGAAUAGACUAUUUUUUAAUUUUUUUAUAAAUUUUUUAAAUAAGAGAGACGAUCAAAACUAGU
rnacentral:pre_miRNA from 1 species